rnacentral:rRNA from 1 species
AGAGACAGCAGUAGCCGCGGGAAUACGUAGGGUGCGAGCGUUAAUCGGAAUUACUGGGCGUAAAGCGUGCGCAGGCGGUUGUGUAAGACAGGUGUGAAAUCCCCGGGCUUAACCUGGGAACUGCAUUUGUGACUGUAGAGCUGGAGUGCAGAAGAAGAGAGUGGAAUUCCACGUGUAGCGGUGAAAUGCGUAGAGAUGUGGAGGAACACCAGUGGCGAAGGCGACUCUCUGGUCUGUAACUGACGCUGAGGAGCGAAAGCGUGGGGAGCGAACAGGAUUAGAUACCCCAGUAGUCCCUGUCUCUUAUAC